rnacentral:misc_RNA from 1 species
AAAAAAAAAAAAAAAAAAACCUAUUUCGGUGCCGUUUUCCAUCAGGUACUAUAAUGUUGUGUUGUUUAAACCAUGUCCAAGUCCAAGGUUGCAAAUUAAACCUACUUUAUUGUGUGAUCCAAAGCUUGUUCAGCUGAAUUCACGGCUCACAGCUGCUUCAAUAUUGGAUUCUAUAAUCGUACGAAAUUGGUAUUCAAUUUCACCCCCCGAGAAAUUGACCCACCUCACAUGCUUCUUGUCCUCUACUAUUUGGCCCAUAACUUGGAAAUUUCAUUACAUCAACCAUGCUAUUUCCAUCCAAAUCCAACAACAUGGAGACACAGAAGAACAUCAAUGUCAUCAAAGAAUACUAUGUAUUUUGAUUCUUCAAUCUAUGAUUACAUCAAACACUUAACAAUGUAAUAAUAAUGAGUUAUGUUUCACUAAUUAAUAUUUCUUUCUCCUAAUGAUUCAUUAAUCUAUCAUUACUAUGUUCAUCAACAAAUGGGUUAGUCACAUCUCAAGAAAAAAAAAUGGAACUUUAAUCAACAUUACCGGAAAAUUAAAGAAGAGAGAACGAGAACCCAUAAUUUUCUUGCAGCCACAAAUCUUUCAUUUUCUCCAGGCAUAAACUAGUAGGGAGAAGCCAACAGGGGCACUCAGCUCGUUCUCCUCGGUGCUAGCCCAUUCCAUUAUGGAUGAAGAGCCGCCACCUGAAGAUGCCGAUGACAUUGAAAUCGACGACGAAGAUGAGCUCCUUGUCGUCCUCAUCAAGCUCCUUCUCAUCUUCCUCCAUUCUAUUCCACUCAUUCCAAAACUAUUACAGGAAUUUUGUUGCCAUGGAACUACACCGUUUUUCCCAUCUUGGCCACCGCAUACUUCAGAACUUUCAGUUUCUCUUUCUUGUUCUUCUUCUUCGUCUUUAAUGUCUGGAGUCUCGAAUCGGAACAUGAACACUGCAUGGCCACCGUUUACAUCCUCAAAUAGCCAAUUGUAGACGUCCCAUGAGACCUGUAUAGGUACCCCAUCUACUUCAAUCUUCUCGUUUCCUCUAAAUUUCCACUUCAAACGCUUUAUCUGCAAAACUCUCUUGUUGUCAACGCUAAAACACAAUCUUGCGUCACUAUUCACCGUGCAGUCUAUUGAAAUAUCUCUGUUUUUGCCUCCAAAUCUGGCUUUCGUGGAGUAUACCCUGUUGCCAUACACAUGCUCUCUCCUAAGAACAAGAGCUUGGGUUCUCUCUGGCCGUUUAGCUCUAGUCUUUGCACAAGCUUGUUUGGUCAAAUCGCCAACAAGAAGGACAAUUUCUCGGUCAACAACUACAGCGAUGUAGAACCCCGAUUGGGGUUCGGGGCCGGAUCCGAACUUGGCCCUAGACAGAUCCCAAAAGAUUUGGAUUCUUGGAGCUCUGGAGGUGUUGGCUUCUUGGUUGACAUUAUGUAAUUUCUUGGAUCCAUGUCUUUUCCAAAAAAUGAAGGGCUUGAUAUGGAGGUGGAAAGACAGGGUAGAAAGAGAAGGUGGUUUGGAGAGAUAUAACGGAGAGCAGUUGGUGCUAUCUGCAGGGUGGAGAUCCAGGUGGAGAGAGUGGCCAAGGAAGGUACGAGACCAAGUAAGAGAGAAGAGGCCAAGCUCCGUUUGGUAGAGGCAAGUAACGAGGUUAGGAUUGCCAGAUGUUGUAGGUGGCGGCGGCGGCAGCGGCGGUGGUGAUGGUGGAGGGAGGCGUUUGUCGGUAGAAGGGGUGGUGGGAGAGGGGCGGAAGCAAGAGGGAAAGGGGGAUGAGUGGUGGGACAUUUGUAUUACAGAGAUAGAUGGAUCGAUGGGUGUGAAAGUGUGAAGUUUUGAAGGGUUUUGAGAGGAUAGAUAGAUGAUAUAUAUAGAGAUGUAGAAAGGAUAUAUGGUAUAGAUGGGGUUUUAUGAACGAACGGAGAGAAGAGACUUCUCCACCUGAAAAUUUAGACCAGAAACCACAAAUUAGACAGAGAAGAAGACUGCUUUUCAAAGGGGAGGAAUGAGGAAAGUACCUAACCACUUCGUAUUUAUAUGUAUAUACAUACACUUCCAUACAUUUUACUUAUUUACUUCCCAAUUUUAACCAUUAGUCCGAUAGAAAAUUUUAAUAAUUUUCAAAUUUCU